rnacentral:rRNA from 1 species
ACGGCGAGUGAAGCGGUAACAGCUCAAAUUUGAAAUCUGGCCUCACGGUCCGAGUUGUAAUUUGUAGAGGAUGCUUCGAGCAUGGUCUGGCCUAAGUUCCUUGGAACAGGACGUCAUAGAGGGUGAGAAUCCCGUAUGCGGCCAGGUGCCUACGCUCAUGUGAAGCUCCUUCGACGAGUCGAGUUGUUUGGGAAUGCAGCUCAAAAUGGGUGGUAAAUUUCAUCUAAAGCUAAAUAUUGGCCAGAGACCGAUAGCGCACAAGUAGAGUGAUCGAAAGAUGAAAAGCACUUUGGAAAGAGAGUUAAACAGUACGUGAAAUUGUUGAAAGGGAAGCGCUUGCAACCAGACUUGCGCGCGGCCGAUCAUCCGGUGUUCUCACCGGUGCACUCGGCCGUGCUCAGGCCAGCAUCGGUUUUGGCGGCUGGAUAAAGGCCCUAGGAAUGUAGCUCCUCUCGGGGAGUGUUAUAGCCUAGGGUGCAAUGCAGCCUGCUGGGACCGAGGACCGCGCUUCGGCUAGGAUGCUGGCGUAAUGGUUGUAAGCGGCCCGUCUUGAAACACGGACCAAGGAGUCUAACAUCUAUGCGAGUGUUUGGGUGUCAAACCCAUACGCGUAAUGAAAGUGAACGGAGGUGAGAACCCUUAAGGGUGCAUCAUCGACCGGUCCUGAAGUUUACGGAAGGAUCUGAGUAAGAGCAUAGCUGUUGGGA